rnacentral:rRNA from 1 species
CUGGCGGCAUGCCUAACACAUGCAAGUCGAACGAGACCUUCGGGUCUAGUGGCGCACGGGUGCGUAACGCGUGGGAAUCUGCCCUCUGGUACGGAAUAACUCAGGGAAACUUGAGCUAAUACCGUAUAAUGACUUCGGUCCAAAGAUUUAUCGCCUGAGGAUGAGCCCGCGUCGGAUUAGCUAGUUGGUGAGGUAAAAGCUCCCCAAGGCGACGAUCCGUAGCUGGUCUGAGAGGAUGAUCAGCCACACUGGGACUGAGACACGGCCCAGACUCCUACGGGAGGCAGCAGUGGGGAAUAUUGGACAAUGGGCGAAAGCCUGAUCCAGCAAUGCCGCGUGAGUGAUGAAGGCCUUAGGGUUGUAAAGCUCUUUUACCCGGGAUGAUAAUGACAGUA